CAGCCGCCGCGGUAAAACGGAGGGGGCUAGCGUUAAUCGGAAUUACUGGGCGUAAAGCGUGCGCAGGCGGUGAUGUAAGACAGUUGUGAAAUCCCCGGGCUCAACCUGGGAACUGCAUCUGUGACUGCAUCGCUGGAGUGCGGCAGAGGGGGAUGGAUUUCCGCGUGUAGCAGUGAAAUGCGUAGAUAUGCGGAGGAACACCGAUGGCGAAGGCGGCCCCCUGGGCCAACACUGACGCUCAUGCACGAAAGCGUGGGGAGCAAACAGGAUUAGAUACCCGAGUAGUCCCUGUCUCUUAUAC
rnacentral:rRNA from 1 species